ACAGACAUUCCAAAACUUCACGAUGGUACAUUUAAAGCUACAGGUGUAACAGACUCACAAGAUCAAUUCACCGUGAUUGUCAUCAUUGUUGCUGUGGCUAUGUUGACUCUUUCAGGCGCUGCAAUAGUUGCCAUACUGUUGGUAAGACGCCACAUGCGCAAUCGGCAGCAAGGAAUCUACUCCGUGCCUACAGAGCAGGUCCAGAAAGGGGAUGUCUAGUUCCUGGUGGGGUAGCAGUCCUAAUGACAGACAAGAGAGGAGCAAUGCACCGGUCUAUGUCAUCUCCUACUCUUCGACUCAGGAUAGUUAGACUUCGUUGCACAACAGCCUACUUCUCAACAUGCAGUUCAUAGCUCGCUACAACACAAGUCACUAUCAAUACAUAUACAAUAUGUGUUUGUUUUUUCUGCUGUAUACUUUUGUCUCUGUCCCAGCCGUUUAUACUCCACAUACACGCAAUUUAGCCGGGGACAUUUGGAACGCAUUCAAAGCUUCUAAUUGGAUUCUAUUUGAGGAAUCCAAAUCAAAGACAGUGAAUAUGGCUUAAAGCUUCUUUUGUUAAAAGGGAUAAUUUAGCACAGCCAGAGCUCCCUUUUUUUUUAACAUUCUGAAACAAGAAAUUAUUCCCACCAGCUAUGCAGUGAAACUGUAUUUGCGUUUGAUUUGGGGCAUGAGGAACAGACCUGUCUGUUGUCUUGUGUAAAUGGUCGAUGAGUGAGACGAACAAUGCUAAUCCACACUAAGCCAGCCCAGUGCUCACUUCACUUGUCUGACACCUUCUGUUCUUGGCCCAUUAGGAAUGACAGGAGGCAGUGCAAUAAGAUAAAAACCUGUUUCCCCUCUUCUCAACCAUAGUAAAAAAAAGAAACCAUUGGAAAUAGCCAGUGUGAACAUCUUCUUGCAAGGCAGAAAAUUAAUCGCCCGCCACGAAGGAUGAUAUUUUUCUUUUCCCCCCUCUCUGUUUCGUUUUGAAAGGCUUUCACUUUAGUCCUGCAGAUUGUAAACACAGUAGCUCUCUGAAUGCUGUAGAGAGUUAGAUUAACGUCUCACACUGGUAGAAAGAAGCUGGGUGUGAGGGAGGGAUAUAAUCUCACAAAUCAAAUAAAGUCCUGGGGAUGAUUGGGAAAAUACCAACAUUGGCUUUGUUUCAAACACUCGGGGUAUAAUGCCUUCUCUGUUUUCAUUUAAAUGGAAAUCAAUCAUGCCCUGUGAAAGAAAGCUUUUUAUCCAAGAACCCUGUGCACUGGUUGCCUUAUUUGUUCAAAUACAGUGGAGGGAACUUUCUGUAGCCAAGGUUAAAGGGGAAUGGGACAUGCUCCCGUUCGACAUGACAGUAUUUAAUUUGUGGCUUCAUGAAGACACUUAUAAUGGAGUAAGCAAUACUGGGAAUGGCUACAUGGGGUUAAACGCUGGAUUUGUCAAAGCAGGAUCUUAUUUUGCUCCUCCACUAAAUCUUGCAGCUAAUCUCGCCACUGGGGACAGAGCUUGGCUCUAUUCCAGCCUGACUUGAGAGCAAAAACAAUUGUGCAGUCACGUCCUCUUCAGGGUGUGCAGCAGCUAUAGGUCUGUGCUGAGACGUCGCCUUAAAAAAUGAUGCAUCCCAAUUUAUUUAACACAAACAAAUUGGCAGAUGUGAUUUAUUGUUUGUGCGUUUGUUUUUCUGUUGGUAUUUGAGCACUGUUUGUACAGUAUGUGUUAUUUCUCAAAAGCGUAGCAUUGCCCCAUAAGCCUUCAAUAUGUGUCAGCAUUUCAAUUCGAGGACAAUUGGACAAAAAUUGCAGUACAAAACAUUUCAGUUUUUUUCCCCAUGUCUUAAAUAAUAUUCACUCAUAUUCAGUAUUUCUGUUGGACUAACAAACCACAAUGGAAUAACAUUUGAGUAUUUUCUUUUCAAGGUUUUUUUCUUCUUCUCCAAAUUGCAGAAAGCAAAAAGACUCCAAAGAGAAAUACAGUAUUUAGUCCAGCCUGUUUCUCGCAUGUAACCAAACUCUACUCACUUAUUCCCCCAUGUAAAGCCGCUCUACUGUGACCCUACAUCUGUAAAUGUAACACAUGUAGACGUUGAGCUUUUGUUUGUUUUUCAAUGGGAUGUGGAAAAGGUUCAGAUUUUUCUUUUUUUCUUUUUUGAACUGGCUCAUUUGUUUUCUUUACAGGAUAGUGUACGGUGUCCCUGAGAAGUCAAUGCACUGCAACUUAAGAAAACCUAUGCAAAGAGACUUAACGUAAGCAAAUGAAGAAAACCUCUUAAUCAAUGGGACCACACAUGACACGCAUUUAGAAAAAACCCUGCUGCAAAUACAGAACCAAAUCAAGAAACGUGCUACAAAUGCACGUUCGUGCAGCAUUCUUGUGUUUAAAUGUGCAUGUGCAGGAUGUUUGCUCCAUUUUAUUUGUGUCUUGUCUAGUUGCAUGUGUUUUCUAAAGAUGUAUCGUGUAGCUCUUUCAGGGCCACCGUACUAAAGGCAUUGCCUGACCUUGCGCAAUUAUUCUAGCCUUUUGUAUAACUUAUAUAAUAUAUUGUAUGUAUUUACAGAUUUACAGACCUAUAUAUUUGCAUUGUGUCUCUUGAUGGAAAAAGAAUAUUGUGUUUGGUGAAAUGGUCUUUUUAUACACUUGUUAAGGGGUGAUGUCUUAUCUCCACUGUUCAUUUAAAAAAAUGUUUGUGGUGGGUGAGAGUCAGGUAUUUGCCAAAAACUCUUAUGUAAAAUAUUACUUAUGACUUAAUGUUGAAUACACAUGUUCGUAUGCACUUGCAUAACCAGAUGUACUCACACUGUAUGUAUUAUUUGUGCCAAGGGCAUUCACAUCUGUUUUUCGUUAUAUAAUUAUUUACAAAAUAUAUAUAUCUCUCUUAAAAGAAAACAAUUGCGGUCAUAAUAUACCAUGAAUCGAUUGUUUGCACAUCUGCUCUCUCUUUGAUUUUGUUCUGAUAGCAAUUAGAACAGUGAAUACUGCUGUAUAUUAUGUAGGUAUGCUGAACUCUGUAUUGAUUUUGACAUGAAAUCUUUUAUAAAAAUUUGCUUGGUUUCUCCCA